rnacentral:rRNA from 1 species
GUCCUACGGGACGCAGCAGUGGGGAAUAUUGCACAAUGGGGGGAACCCUGAUGCAGCGACGCCGCGUGAGUGAAGAAGUAUUUCGGUAUGUAAAGCUCUAUCAGCAGGGAAGAAAAUGACGGUACCUGACUAAGAAGCCCCGGCUAACUACGUGCCAGCAGCCGCGGUAAUACGUAGGUGGCAAGCGUUGUCCGGAUUUACUGGGUGUAAAGGGCGUGCAGCCGGAGAGACAAGUCAGAUGUGAAAUCCACGGGCUCAACCCGUGAACUGCAUUUGAAACUGUUUCCCUUGAGUGUCGGAGAGGG